rnacentral:lncRNA from 1 species
AUGUUGCACGAGGGUAUUACACAGUCCACCUACACAAGGCCGGUGCAUGAGGCCCUGCGUUGCAUGAGGUCCUUGCACGAGGCCCCACGUCGCACAGUGUCCAUCGCACGAUGCUGCAGCGCGUGGCACCAUCCCGUUGCACGCCGCUGGUGCACAAGUCCACGGCACCAAGCAGCGCGGCGCACGAGGCCCGAGCACAAGUCAUGGCGUGAGGGCAGCUGCUGCUCGCACGAGUCCGGUGCACGAGGCCCCGUGUUGCACGGAGCCAUGGCAUGUCUGUGUCUCUUGCACCUUUUGCAGCUGCCCCACGGCGUGUCACACAAGGUCCCGUGUUGCACAAGGUCCCGCGUCGCACAAGGUCCCACGUUGCACAAGGCCACUGUUGCACUGAAGCGGUCAUCCAUUGCACGAGGGCCUGUGGUUCCCUCCGUCCGCAGCUCUUGCACAUCCACGAGGAACUCACAGCGGGUGCACGAGGUCGCACGAGGGUCAAGCUUUGCACGGGGGGGUGUUGCUUACAGUGGUGCAUUGCACGAGGUCGCCCAGUUCACAAUGCUGUGCAUUGCACACUCGCACAGUCCCACCCUGCUCAUUGCACGAGUGCUGCCCUGCAAAAGGUGCGGCGUUGCACAAUGCCGUGCGUUGCACGAGUGCUUCUGGGUGAACACAGUGCAGCUCCCGUGCAAAGCCAUGAGUGUGUUGCAUCGGUGCGCACCCAAAGCUCCUUCGCUGCUGGAAAUGGUGCAUUGCACGAGGCCGGGAUUGCAAAAGCAAAGCACAGUGCAUUGCACAAGCGCUGCAGUACAAGGGCUGCUGCAUUGCAGAGGAUUGUGCGCUGCACAAGUCCUCCACCAUGCAUUGCACAAGUGCAAGAUCCAAGGCGUCGUGCAUUGCACAAGUGCUUCUUUGCAAAAGAGUGCAGUGCACAGCGCCGUGCAUUGCACGAGUCCACUGCAAAAUCCAUGGCGUUGUGCACUGCACCCCGCCGUGCAUUGCACAGCAGCGUGCGUUGCACAAGUCCUUCAAUGCAAAGCAAUGUGCACUGCGCAGCGUUGUACCUUGCACAACACCGUGCAUUGCACAAAUCCUUCAUUGCACCACAACGUGCAUUGCAUAGCACGGUACCUUGCACAGCAGUGUGCACUGCACAAGUGCUUCACUGCACCCCAGUGUGCAUUGCACAAGUGCUUCACUGCAACACAAACUACAUUGCAUAGCACUGUGCAUUGCACAAGUCCUGCAUUGCAUCACAAAGUGCAUUGCACAAGUCCUUCACAGCAAAACAAGGUGCAUUGCACGGCAUUGUGCCUUUGCGCAGCACCGUGCAUGGCACAAGUCAUUCACUGCAAAACUCAGUGCACUGCACAACACCGUGCUUUGCACGAGUGCUUCAUUGCAACGCAAAGUGCAUUGUACGGCAUUGUACAUUGCACAACACCGUGCACUGCACAAGUGCUUCGCUGCAACCUAGUGUGCAUUGCACAAGUGCGUUGACACAAAACGAUUUGCAUGGCAAAACACCGUGCAUUGCACAAGUCCUUCACUGCAACCCAAUGUGCACUGCACGGCAUUGUACCUUGCACAACACCGUGCAUUGCACAAGUCCUGCACUGCAACCCAAUGUGCAUUGCACAGCAUUGUACCUUGCACAACACUGUGCAUUGCACAAGUGCUUCAUUGCAUCACAAAGUGCAUUGCACGGCACCGUGCAUUGCACAAGUCCUUCACUGCAAAAGUGAGUGCAUUGCACAGCACCGUGCGUUGCACAAGUCCUUCAUUGCAACCCAAUGUGCACUGCACAAUGUUGCACCUCGCACAACACUGUGCAUCGCACAAGUCCUUCAUUGCAAAGCACCGUGCAUUGCACAGCGUCGUACCUUGCACAACACCGUGCAUUGCACAAGUGCUUCAUUGCAACACAAAGUGCACUACACAGUGUUGCACCUUGCACAACACCGUGCAUCACACAAGUCCUACACUGCAAAGCACCGUGCAUUGCACAAGUCCUUCAUUGCAAUGCAACGUGCAUUGCACAGCACUGUACCUUGCACAACACCGUGCAUUGCACAAGUGCUUCAUUGCAAAGCACUGUGCAUUGCACAGCAUUGUACCUUGCACAACGCCGUGCAUUGCACGAGUCCUUCAUUACAAAGCAGUGAGCAUUGCAGGGCACCGUGCAUUGCACAAGUCCUUCACUGCAAAAAGUGAGUGCACUGCACAGCACCGUGCAUUGCACAAGUGCUUCAUUGCAACCCCAUGUGCACUGCAGUGUUGCACCUUGCACAACACCGUGCAUUGCACAAGUCCUUCAUUGCAAAGCACCGUGCAUUGCACAAGUGCUUCACUGCACCACAAAGUGCAUUGCACAGCACCGUGCAUUGCACAAGUCCUUCACUGCAACCCACCGUGCAUUGCACAAGUCCUUCACUGCAAAGCAACGUGCAUUGCACGGCAUUGUACCUCGCACAGCACCGUGCAUUGCACAAGUCCUUCA